rnacentral:lncRNA from 1 species
GUUGUGGGUGAUGUCUUGUACCCAGUGGCCCUCCUGGUUCUCUGCUCUGCCUAGCAUCGCUGUCAUCAGCCUGUGCAAUGGGGAACCCCAGGUAGCAUCCUGGUAGCUGUGGGCUGCCCCACCCCCCACCUUACAGGGCAACUCUGCUAUCUUGUGUCUCUGCCUGGCUGUCCACCCGCCUGCCAGCCAGAGCUUCUGAGCUCAUCAAUCACACUGCCGUGCUCUGCUAAGCUGUAUCUGAGGAAGACAAGUCAGCUGAAGAUGGAAUGGGCCUCAGGCUCAGGAAGGAAUGGAAGGGAGAGUCCACACAUACAAGGACACAAGCGCUCUGUCUACACAGAUAUCCACAGUAUUUACUCUGGUGAGCCAAACACGAUCCUAAACUCAG